rnacentral:hammerhead_ribozyme from 1 species
AUCCAGAUGACGUGUCCUAGAUAGGACGAAAUGCGCGUUGUCCUGGAU